AAAGACACGAGACACGAACCACAGUCCUGAACGACGGGCGCGGGUGGAGUCGACCUCAACCGGGACGGACCGGACGCCUCGAGCUCGGGGAGGUUGUGGAGGAAACGUCCCUGUAGAAGACCUGCUGAGUGUGUUUUAUGCUGCGGGGUGCACCGGACGGGUGGGCACACCACAUCAAGACCGGUGAUCAGACGGACUUCCUGCCUCCUGGGCGACCGCUGGUUCCACUGGACUGGACGCUCCUACAGAACAGAUUUCCAGCAAAGUCGGAGGAACACGGGCCAAGAAAGAUCCAUUAAACGUUGGCGUGGAUCAGGACAAAGGGGGCGGAGCCAGGAAUGAUAUUAUUUAUGACUUUCUUGAAC